UACAGAGGGUGCGAGCGUUAAUCGGAUUUACUGGGCGUAAAGGGUGCGUAGGUGGUAAAGCAAGUAAGAUGUGAAAGCCCUGGGCUUAACCUGGGAAGUGCAUCUUAAACUGCUUAACUAGAGUAUGGUAGAGGGUAGUGGAAUUUCCGGUGUAGCGGUGAAAUGCGUAGAGAUCGGAAGGAACGCCAGUGGUGAAGACGACUACCUGGACCAAUACUGACACUGAGGCACGAAAGCGUGGGGAUCAAACAGG
rnacentral:rRNA from 1 species